rnacentral:rRNA from 1 species
UACGGAGGGUGCGAGCGUUGUUCGGAAUCACUGGGCGUAAAGGGCGUGUAGGCGGUCCGCUAAGUCUGAUGUGAAAGCCCGGGGCUCACCCCCGGAAGGGCAUUGGAAACUGACGGACUCGAGUCCCGAAGAGGAGGGUGGAAUUCCUGGUGUAGCGGUGAAAUGCGUAGAUAUCAGGAGGAACACCGGUGGCGAAGGCGACCCUCUGGACGGUGACUGACGCUGAGACGCGAAAGCGUGGGGAGCAAACAGG